UUCAGUUAAUUCUAAUCAUUAAUACUCAGACCUUAUACACAUUUGAUGGAUUAAUUCAAUUAAUGUUCAUAAUUUCAAUUAAAACAAAUUAAUAGAAAAGAGGGAUUUAGGGUUACUUGUUUUUGUGACUCUUGAGCUUCUGAAGAGCUUUCUUCUUCCUCAUGGCCAAAACACAAAACGGCGCGGCUAUCUUCGUUCUUCCCCGAUGAGUUUCAGAUCAAAGCUUCACCGUGACCGCUUCCGGUCAUCGCGAACCACAACACAAAACCACAAUUCGUUCCCUCUCGCCCCCUUUCAUUUCUUGCUCGAUCUUUUCCCUCAUUUUUUGUUCCGUUCGAUGAAGAUUGAUGUUCGAACGAAAAAGAAGAUAUCAGAGGCGACCUCAAACAGGUUGAAACUCUAUCGUGAAGCUAAAUCGAAGAUGAUCUCGCUGUUGUGAACCGGUGCUUGCUAUGGUUGAGCUCGGAUCAGAAACACGAAAAAUGAUGCGUGCCUCUUCAGAAACUUGUUGAAGACGAUGAAGAUAAGAAGAAUCUUGCAGGGAGAACCGAUGAUUUCCAGAUGAGUUGCCUUGUGCGAUUUUCUGCCGAAACGGAAACGGUUAUGGAUGCGUGUUUUUUUUUGUCAAUUCUGAUAUGUGAUUCAAAUCUGAAUGAAGGGAGAGCUAAGUUGAGUGUUUGACUCCAGGAUGAAGGUCGAAGGAGAAUUGCAGAAUUUCGUUGAUGAUGAAUUAAUGAUUCGAGAGUAGAGUGAAGAUGAAACUUGGUUCAAGAUUGUUUAUUCAGAGAUGAAGAAUAAUGGAUGUUGGAUAAAGAUUGAAGAAUGAGGGAUGAAGAUGGUGAUUGAAGGGGAAUGAUGAAAAGGUUCAAGGUGAUGAGGAUAGGGGAAGAUGAUUGAAGAUGAUGAAUUGAGGUGGAGAGAGCACCCUGAAAAUGGUGGAGAUGCUGAUGAUAUAUAGAGGUUUAAUUUGAAACAUAAAAAAGUAUGGCUAGCACCCUAAUGAGGAUGAAACAAAAUGGGCUUAAAGGAUUUGAUUGAAGCUUGAACGUGAAAUAGUGCAUUUGAGGAAGACCUUGAAAUCUUUUUAAGUGUAGCUUUUUUUGUAAUUUGAAUGUAAUGAUCUCAGCUUGAAUUUGUAAAUGAAGUAUGCUCUUUUGUAAUGAACUCGAAACUUGGGAUGAUUGUGAGCGAUGUUGACUUUCAUGAACUUGUAGCAAACUUUAGAAGAAGCUGUAAUGAAUCCUGAUAACCAUUUGAAUGGGUUUAUCUUAAA